rnacentral:rRNA from 1 species
CCUACGGGGGGCUGCAGUGGGGGAUAUUGCACAAUGGAGGAAACUCUGAUGCAGCAACGCCGCGUGAGGGAAGAAGGUCUUCGGAUUGUAAACCUCUGUCCUCAGGGACGAUAAUGACGGUACCUGAGGAGGAAGCUCCGGCUAACUAUGUGCCAGCAGCCGCGGUAAUACGUAGGGAGCAAGCGUUGUCCGGAUUUACUGGGUGUAAAGGGUGCGUAGGCGGUCUUUUAAGUCUGAUGUGAAAUCUUGCGGCUCAACCGCAAGCGGUCAUUGGAAACUGGGAGACUUGAGUGCAGAAGAGGAAAGCGGAAUUCCACGUGUAGCGGUGAAAUGCGUAGAGAUGUGGAGGAACACCAGUGGCGAAGGCGGCUUUCUGGUCUGUAACUGACGCUGAGGCGCGAAAGCGUGGGUAGCAAACAGGAUUAGAUACCCCAGUAGUC